rnacentral:rRNA from 1 species
AGUCGAGCGAGAGACUUCGGUCUCUAGCGGCGGACGGGUGAGUAACACGUGGGUAACCUGCCUCAGACUGGGGGAUAGCCUUCCGAAAGGAAGAUUAAUACCGCAUAACAUAGUUUAGCCGCAUGGCUAGAUUAUCAAAGGAGUAAUCCGGUUUGAGAUGGACCCGCGGCGCAUUAGCUAGUUGGUGAGGUAACGGCUCACCAAGGCGACGAUGCGUAGCCGACCUGAGAGGGUGAUCGGCCACAUUGGAACUGAGAUACGGUCCAAACUCCUACGGGAGGCAGCAGUGGGGAAUAUUGCACAAUGGGCGAAAGCCUGAUGCAGCAACGCCGCGUGAGUGAUGAAGGCCUUCGGGUUGUAAAACUCUGUCUUUGGGGACGAUAAUGACGGUACCCAAGGAGGAAGCCACGGCUAACUACGUGCCAGCAGCCGCGGUAAUACGUAGGUGGCAAGCGUUGUCCGGAUUUACUGGGCGUAAAGGAUGCGUAGGUGGAUAUUUAAGUCAGAUGUGAAAUACCCGAGCUUAACUUGGGUGCUGCAUUUGAAACUGGAUAUCUAGAGUGCAGGAGAGGUAAGUGGAAUUCCUAGUGUAGCGGUGAAAUGCGUAGAGAUUAGGAAGAACACCAGUGGCGAAGGCGACUUACUGGACUGUAACUGACACUGAGGCAUGAAAG